AACCCUAGACCUAAUAACAGAAGCGACGCCCCCCUCUACUGUCCUUCUUUUUCGCUUGAAACUCGCCUCAACUCGCCUGAGUGUUGAAUGAGUUCACUCAUUGGUCCCCCCUCCAUGUCACCUUAUCCUCAACGGAUUUGUCAGAGGAGUACGAAUUUUCUCUCCAGAAUUGCACGAUUCUCGUACAGAAGGACAAUUGGUGGACGAAUGGGAGCCGUGGAUAGAUGUAAAUCGAUUCACGCCCUCCAUUUUUCCCAAAAUUGUUCAAAAAUUUGAAGAUUUUCGGAUAUUUUGAGCAGAAGAUUCGAGAAUUUUCGAGGGUUAUAUAUAGGAGGUAAGUUUUCUUUUUCAAGGUUUUGAGGAAAAUAGAGAGAAAAAUAUAAAGAGAAAAUCGGGAAAAAUCUUCAGAGCCUAGUCGAAAUUUCUAGGGUUUUAGCGACCGUUCUGCUUCAAGUUUUUUUUUUGAGUCUAUUUCUCUGUUUUCAAAAGAAGAUAAAAAAGAUGGCUUGAGUUUUUGGCCCGCAUUUGAGUUCAUAUUACCAAAAAAAAAAUCCAGAAGCAAAACUUUCUAGCCUUAUUUCGUUUUUCUUGAUUUCUUGGUUCUAAAAGAAGGUUUUGGAUCGAAUUUCGAGUUUAAGUUUGUGGUUGGGUUCCGAAAUUUUGUUAUUUUGGAUUUUCUGUCCAAUUUUUGGUCGAGAUUCGGAUUUGCUCGGUUGGUCUGUGGAGUUGCUGUUUUUGUUGCUGAAUCUCUCCUCCCAUUUCAGAGCUUUCUUUUGAUAUUUUUCAGUUAUUUUGCCAAUAGGUAUGUUCUCCUUAAAAUACCUUCAGAACUUUUUUUUGGAUGUGUAAUUAUGGAUUUUGUUUUAGCCUAUUCACUUGUAAUUACUUGAAUAUGGGAUUGUCUUUUAGUUCGUUUCUGUUGUUGCUAUCAAAACUUAUUGGGUUUGAUUUAUUUUCAGCAUUGAACAGAGUGUUUGUAGCUUGAUAAAAAUGAGAUUUUUGUUGGAACUUAGAUAUCUUUGUUUUGCUGGUGUUAAUCUUUUGGUCUUGUUCUAGAUAGCGUGAAAAUGUUUGAUUUGUUUCCCUUACUCUGUUGAAUUUGGGUCAUACGUGGUAAGUUUCAAACUAAGGUCAACUAUUCUAUUUUGAUUCUUGUUCAAAGCUGUACGCCAUUUAAAGCUUACUAAGAAAUAUUUAUAUAGUUGAAAUCAUGGUCAAAACAUCAGUCUCUCUUUUUGGAUCCACAAGUUCAAGCAAAUGACCAUGGGAGCAGUAAAAGAGUUAAUUUGUUGAAAAAAGGUGAAUUAAUAAGGUUUGGUUAAAUGGGUUAAAAUUCCAUGCUUUGAACAUUACUAGGCUUGAUUUUCUUUCUUAGCUUUUGUUUACCUUUUAUUAUACUCUGUUCUUUUUGUUUCUCUUAAAAUAUUCGUUCUUGUCGUAUUCUUGUGUUAAGCUAAGUGUUAAGGACAGAAAUAAAAGAAUUGGGUUUUAACUUUAAAAGGAAAAAACGUUGGACAGGGAAUGUCGUUUUCUUAUGAAUGGAUGAGAUGCUUGAGGAUUACUCUGUUUUCUGGAAGCCUUCAAAUGGAGUGAAUGUAGGCCAAUUGAAUGGCACUUGCUGAAACUCCAAGUUUGAAAAGAUAGAAUUUAUUUGUACAAUUUUACUUUUAAAGUUGGGGUCUAUGCAAUUCAUUAUGGUAUUCCGAAAGAUUUGUACAUAAUGUUAUGUUAACAUAAUUCAUGAUAUUACUGAUUAAGAGACAAUUUUAUAGACAUUUGGUUGAACCUUUACUUGUUUGAAUAUUGGUCAAGCCAUGGACAAUAAUUUACCUUUUGUCUCUUCCGUAUGAAUUCAUGGACUCUUGCUUUAGGCAUUUACAAAGUCAAGAAUGUGAAAGUCAUCCUGUUAUUUUGCUUUCCAUUCUCCUUGCUGGAAAUUCAAAACACCUUUAUACUUAUGAAAGUGCAAUUCGUUAAUUUAGAAUAAGCUUUACUGCAUCAUUGGUUCAAGCGAGCUUUAUAUUAAGCUUAAUCUCUGCGCAUUUAUCCACGGGUCAUUUCUAUGAAUUUCUGAGCUUGUCACAUGAUCCCAAAUUAGCAUUAGAAUAACAACUCAUGAAUACUCGUAGUUUGCUUUAG
rnacentral:lncRNA from 1 species